rnacentral:rRNA from 1 species
UACAGAGGUCUCAAGCGUUGUUCGGAUUCAUUGGCGUAAAGGGUGCGUAGGUGGCGCUGUAAGUCGGGUGUGAAAUUUCGGAGCUUAACUCCGAAACUGCAUUCGAUACUGCGGUGCUUGAGGACUGGAGAGGAGACUGGAAUUCAUGGUGUAGCAGUGAAUGCGUAGAGAUCAUGAGGAAGACCAGUGGCGAAGGCGGGUCUCUGGCCGAUACUGACGCUGAGGAGCGAAGCGUGGGAGCGAACAGG